GAUUGAACGCUGGCGGCAUGCCUUACACAUGCAAGUCGAACGGCAGCACGGAGCUUGCUCUGGUGGCGAGUGGCGAACGGGUGAGUAAUAUAUCGGAACGUACCCUAGAGUGGGGGAUAACGUAGCGAAAGUUACGCUAAUACCGCAUACGAUCUAAGGAUGAAAGUGGGGGAUCGCAAGACCUCAUGCUCGUGGAGCGGCCGAUAUCUGAUUAGCUAGUUGGUAGGGUAAAAGCCUACCAAGGCAUCGAUCAGUAGCUGGUCUGAGAGGACGACCAGCCACACUGGAACUGAGACACGGUCCAGACUCCUACGGGAGGCAGCAGUGGGGAAUUUUGGACAAUGGGCGAAAGCCUGAUCCAGCAAUGCCGCGUGAGUGAAGAAGGCCUUCGGGUUGUAAAGCUCUUUUGUCAGGGAAGAAACGGUGAGAGCUAAUAUCUCUUGCUAAUGACGGUACCUGAAGAAUAAGCACCGGCUAACUACGUGCCAGCAGCCGCGGUAAUACGUAGGGUGCAAGCGUUAAUCGGAAUUACUGGGCGUAAAGCGUGCGCAGGCGGUUUUGUAAGUCUGAUGUGAAAUCCCCGGGCUCAACCUGGGAAUUGCAUUGGAGACUGCAAGGCUAGAAUCUGGCAGAGGGGGGUAGAAUUCCACGUGUAGCAGUGAAAUGCGUAGAUAUGUGGAGGAACACCGAUGGCGAAGGCAGCCCCCUGGGUCAAGAUUGACGCUCAUGCACGAAAGCGUGGGGAGCAAACAGGAUUAGAUACCCUGGUAGUCCACGCCCUAAACGAUGUCUACUAGUUGUCGGGUCUUAAUUGACUUGGUAACGCAGCUAACGCGUGAAGUAGACCGCCUGGGGAGUACGGUCGCAAGAUUAAAACUCAAAGGAAUUGACGGGGACCCGCACAAGCGGUGGAUGAUGUGGAUUAAUUCGAUGCAACGCGAAAAACCUUACCUACCCUUGACAUGGCUGGAAUCCCCGAGAGAUUGAGGAGUGCUCGAAAGAGAACCAGUACACAGGUGCUGCAUGGCUGUCGUCAGCUCGUGUCGUGAGAUGUUGGGUUAAGUCCCGCAACGAGCGCAACCCUUGUCAUUAGUUGCUACGAAAGGGCACUCUAAUGAGACUGCCGGUGACAAACCGGAGGAAGGUGGGGAUGACGUCAAGUCCUCAUGGCCCUUAUGGGUAGGGCUUCACACGUCAUACAGUGGUACAUACAGAGCGCCGCCAACCCGCGAGGGGGAGCUAAUCGCAGAAAGUGUAUCGUAGUCCGGAUUGUAGUCUGCAACUCGACUGCAUGAAGUUGGAAUCGCUAGUAAUCGCGGAUCAGCAUGUCGCGGUGAAUACGUUCCCGGGUCUUG
rnacentral:rRNA from 1 species